CAUACAUUUGCACCAGUGUCUGAGUGACUGCAGCCACAUUGUUUAAAUCAGGGAGGAAGGAGAGAAAAGCACAUACAGUUUGGCUAAGUAAGGGCCUGUGAAAGAUGACUGGGAAAGACAUAGCAACUGGGAGUAAGCUUAAAUUCGUUAUAUGGUGGUCUGGCUCUCCCCUAGAAAACCUUUAGGAGCAGCCAAACUGGAGGAAAAAAAAAAGAAA